GACGGAGGAUGCAAGCGUUAUCCGGAAUGAUUGGGCGCAAAGCGUCCGCAGGCGGCAGUUCAAGUCUGCUGUCAAAGACCGGGGCUUAACUUCGGAAAGGCAGUGGAAACUGAACAGCUAGAGUAUGGUAGGGGCAGAGGGAAUUCCUGGUGUAGCGGUGAAAUGCGUAGAGAUCAGGAAGAACAUCGGUGGCGAAGGCGCUCUGCUGGACCAUAACUGACACUCAGGGACGAAAGCUAGGGGAGCGAAUGGG
rnacentral:rRNA from 1 species